rnacentral:tRNA from 1 species
GCUCUUAUAGUGUAAUUGGAAACACAUCUCCUUUUGAAAGAGGAUAUCGGGGUUCAAAUCCUCCUCAUAGUG